AGUGAACGCUGGCGGUAGGCCUAACACAUGCAAGUCGAACGGCAGCACAGUAAGAGCUUGCUCUUACGGGUGUCGAGUGGCGGACGGUUGAGGAAGACAUCGGAAUCUACUUUUUCGUGGGGGAUAACGUAGGGAAACGUACGCGAAUACCGCAUACGACCUACGUGUAAAAGCAGGGGAUCUUCUGACCUUGUGCGAUGGAAUGAGCCGAUGUCGGAUUAGCUAGUUGGCGGGGUAAAGGCCCACCAAGGCGACGAUCCGUAGCUGGUCUGAGAGGAUGAUCAGCCACACUGGAACUGAGACACGGUCCCGACUCCUACGGGAGGCAGCAGUGGGGAAUAUUGGACAAUGGGCGCAAGCCUGAUCCAGCCAUACCGCGUGGGUGAAGAAGGCCUUCGGGUUGUAAAGCCCUUUUGUUGGGAAAGAAAAGCAGCAGGUUAAUACCCCGCUGUUCUGACGGUACCCAAAGAAUAAGCACCGGCUAACUUCGUG
rnacentral:rRNA from 1 species